AUGGCCCAGACAGUCACCCAGUCUCAAACAGAAAUGUCUGUGCAGGAGGCUGAGACCACCACCCUGGACUGUACUUAUGACACUAAGGAUAGCAAUUAUCAUUUGUUCUGGUACAAGCAAACUCCCAGUGGGCAGAUGAUUCUAAUCAUCCGCCAAGGAGCUUAUAAGCAAGAGAAUGCAACAGAGAAUCGCUUCUCAGUAAACUUCCAGAAAGCCGCCAAGUCCUUGAGUCUCAAGAUCUCAGACUCACAGCUGGGAGAUGCUGCUGUGUAUUUCUGUGCCCUCAUGGAGAACACAGUGAGACAAGCAACAGGGAGAGGCUGA